GCAGAAUUCCGCGAAUCAUCGAGUCUUUGAACGCAAGUUGCGCCCGAGGCUUGUCCAAGGGCAUUUCCGCUAGAGCGUCACCGC
rnacentral:rRNA from 2 species